rnacentral:misc_RNA from 1 species
AUCUAAACCCGAUCGAAGGAAUGCCGUUUUCCCCGGCAGUACGCAGAGCGGGACUGAAA